rnacentral:tRNA from 1 species
GGGGCCUUAGCUCAAUUGGCAGAGCACUGCCUUUGCAAGGCAGGGGUUACGAGUUCGAUUCUCGUAGGCUCCA